UACGGAGGAUGCGAGCGUUAUCCGGAUUUAUUGGGUUUAAAGGGUGCGUAGGUUGUUUUUUAAGUCAGCGGUGAAAGUUUGUGGCUCAACCAUAAAAUUGCCGUUGAAACUGGAAGACUUGAGUGUGUUUGAGGUAGGCGGAAUGCGUGGUGUAGCGGUGAAAUGCAUAGAUAUCACGCAGAACUCCGAUUGCGAAGGCAGCUUACUAAACCAUAACUGACACUGAAGCACGAAAGCGUGGGGAUCAAACAGG
rnacentral:rRNA from 1 species